UGGGAAUUGAACUCAGGGGAAAUGAACCACUGAACCACAUCCCUGGCCCUUUUUUUAGAGACAGGGUCUUACUGAGUUGCCUAGCUCCUCCCUAAAUUGCUGAGGCUGGCUUUGAACUUGCAGUCCUCCUGCCUCAGCGUCCCCAGCCAUUGGGAUUACAGGUGUGUGCCACUGCGCCUGGCCUAACAAUGUCUCUUAUAAGUAGGCAUGCACUGGCUGUAACACACUGCUGGAUAGAAGUAAGUAAUGCAUGUUGUCUGCUUUAUGAAAGUAUUUUUCUUUUUAAUUUAGAAGAUAUAUAAGACAUAUGUAGAUAACAAGUAGCCGUACAGUUGAUGUGAUGGUACAGUAGGGGAAAGAGUUGGGUAUAAAAUUAGUGGGGAAGGAAUGUCCCACCCCAAAGGCAUAUGUGGAAGCCCUAAUCCACACUGUGGAUGUAUCUGGAGUAGGAAAGUUAAUUAAAGUUAAAUGUAAUUGUAAGGGUGAAGCCCUGAUCUAAUAGGAUUAGUGUCCUCAUAAGAAGAGACAUUGGAGAACUCACGCUCUCUCCAAGAACACCAGGAAAGACUGUGAACGCCAGUCAGGAAGAGACGUCUUGACCAACGUUAGAUCUGCUUGAUGGGCUCAGGACAGCAGAAUAUAGUACCAUGGCACUUCAGAGCACAAAAUCAAGGAGCUCACACCUCCCCUCACCCUCACCCUCCCUGAAGCAGGUUAGAAGACCCUCACCGGAGAAGCACCUUCCCUAGACCUGAUCAAAGGAAAGUUCUAUUCUAAAGACACAACAACAAAAUCUCUGAAUAAAUUGGCCUUGCUCGGGGGCCCAAUUUAUUACCUUCCACUCGCACCCUCCUUGUCCAAUCACUCGUGUGCA
rnacentral:lncRNA from 1 species